rnacentral:rRNA from 1 species
AACGGGAUCGGCUGGAGCUUGCUCCGGCCGUGAGAGUGGCGAACGGGUGAGUAAUGCGUGACCGACCUGCCCCAUACACCGGAAUAGCUCCUGGAAACGGGUGGUAAUGCCGGAUGCUCCGACAUGACGCAUGUCGUGUUGGGAAAGAUUCAUCGGUAUGGGAUGGGGAUGCGUCUGAUUAGCUUGUUGGCGGGGUAACGGCCCACCAAGGCGACGAUCGGUAGGGGUUCUGAGAGGAAGGCCCCCACAUUGGGACUGAGACACGGCCCAAACUCC